AUGGGAAAGACUAGAGAUCUCUUCAAGAAAAUUAGAGAUACCAAGGGAACAUUUCAUGCAAAGAUGGGCUCGAUAAAGGACAGAAAUGGUGUGGACCUAACAGAAGCAGAAGAUAUUAAGAAGAGGAGGCAAGAAUACACGGAAGAACUACACAAAAAAGAUCUUCACAACCCAGAUAAUCACGAUGGUGUGAUCACUCACCUAGAGCUGGACAUCCUGGAAUGCAAAGUCAAGUGGGCCUUAGAAAGCAUCACUGUGAACAAAGCUAGUGGAAGUGAUGGAAUUCCAGUUGAGCUAUUUCAAAUCCUGGAAGACGAUGCUGUGAAAGUGCUGCACUCAAUAUUCCAGCAAAUUUGGAUAACUCAGCAGUGGCCACAGGACUGGAAAAGGUCAGUUUUCAUUCCAAUCCCAAAGAAAGGCAAUGCAAAAGAAUGCUCAAACUACUGCACAAUUGCACUCAUCUCACAUGCUAGUAAAGUAAUGUCCAAAAUUCUCCAAGUCAGGCUUCAGCAAUACAUGAACCAUGAACUUCCAGAUGUUCAAGCUGGUUUUAGAAAAGGCAGAGGAACCAGAGAUCAAAUUGCCAACAUCUGCUGGAUCAUGGAAAAAGCAAGAGAGUUCCAGAAAAACAUCUAUUUCUGCUUUAUUGACUAUGCCAAAGCCUUUGACUGUGUGGAUCACAAUAAACUGUGGAAAAUUCUGAAAGAGAUGGGAAUACCAGAUCACCUGACCUGCUUCUUGAGAAACCUAUAUGCAGGUCAGGAAGCAACAGUUAGAACUGGGCAUGGAACAACAGACUGGUUCCAAACAGGAAAAGGAGUAAGUCAAGGCUGUAUAUUGUCACUCUGCUUAUUUAACUUAUAUGCAGAGUACAUCACGAUAAAUCCUGGGCUGGAAGAAGCACAAGCUGGAAUCAAGAUUGCCAGGAGAAAAAUCAGUAAGCUCAGAUACACAGAUGACACCACCCUUAUGGCAGAAAGUGAAGAGGAACUAAAAAGCCUCUUGUUGAAAGUGAAAGGGGAGAGUGAAAAAGUUGACUUUAAGCUCAACAUUCAGAAAACUAAGAUCAUGGCAUCUGGUCCCAUCACUUCAUGGGAAAUAGAUGGCGAAACAGUGGAAACAGUGGCUGACUUUAUUUUUUUGGGCUCCAAAUUAACCGCAGAUGGUGAUUGCAGUCAUGAAAUUAAAAGACUGUUACUCCUUGGAAGGAAAGUUAUGAUCAACCUAGAUAGCAUAUUAAAAAGCAGAGACAUUACUAUGCCAACAACAGUCCAUCUAGUCAAGGCUAUGGUUUUUCCAGUGGUCAUGUAUGGAUGUGAGAGUUGGACUGUGAAGAAAGCUGAGGGCCAAAGAAUUGAUGCUUUUGAACUGUGGUGUUGGAGAAGACUCUUAAGAGUCCCUUAG
rnacentral:lncRNA from 1 species